rnacentral:misc_RNA from 1 species
AACUUUGUCAGAGCUGCUUCUCUUUGGCUAAAACGAUGAGAAUCCAUCUCUUUGAAUCUGUCAUAAACAAAGAAGCCCCCAUCAUUCACUCUCUCCGGAACCAUAGCCUUCUCAGAUGCCACAACCAAAGUAGCACUUCCCUCAUGUCUACUGCAAAAGCUUCCAUAUGCACUGCUGUUACUGUCAUCUGCAAUGCCAUUACACAUGCUGCUACUAGUACUCUGACUGGCAGCUGGAGAGCCAUGUCUCAGUUCCUCCGCAAGUUCCAUAUUAUUCUGCUGAUGCAAACUUUGGUCCACAGAAUUGGUGGUAGUUUCUUCAGAUUGUCUGUUAUUCUGUUCAGAGUCCUGAAUUUCAGAAUUUGAAUGAAUUGAAGUACUAAAUGGAGAAUGUUCUCGUUGGCUGGCCAGUUUGGGACUCCAAGCUGGGG